GGUUCGAUUUAAAGUGAAAGGAACGCUGAACAAAUGGUCAAGUCGUGCAAGUAACAUCGUUCUGCGACAAACGCAAAGAUGAGGAGGAAAGAGAAGAUUGCAAAGAUCGGCUGAUGGAUCUCUUCACGAAGAUCUGUUGUGACAACGAUCGCCUCAAAAGAGGUAUCGAAAAAUUUGAUUUUAAAAAGACGGACUAUAAGAAAUUCGAGCUAACCGAAUCUAUUGAUGUUUCCCUAGAGCGGGAGAACAAAUCUACAUCCUUCGAUAAACACGAGAAGAGAGAUAUCUCUGAGAAAAUAGCAAAUCCAAAGGGAGAGCAUAUCGUGGAUGUUAAUUUUGAUUCUAUCCGGGAAGAUUUUCACAAACAAACACGGUAUUAUCGAUCGAAAUCUCUUCCAUCUGCUUCCGUACUGUCUCAGAAUGUUGCGGUAAAUAAUCGUAAGAUGAAAGGUAAUUUUCAAGGAGUCUAUUAUUCAAUUCAUACGUUAGACUAACGAUAUCUAAUAACAUAGACCGAGGUGCGUAUUUUACUUAAUCGUUAAGGCUAAUAACGCGAUUGUUUAGCGCUAAAUAAUAAUAAUUUAUACAAACAACGAAAAGUCUCGAGCUUAAUGUCGAAUUCGUAACGUCGAAAUCCUUCCUAGUAAAUAAUUGUAAAGAUUAAAAGGUCAUUCUGAAUGAACGAACACCGGCUAAACUCUCACAUUGCAUUGCACGUUAUCGUUUGCUCAUGUCAGUUCGUUCGAAGUAUGAGGAUGUUCUUCGGAUAAUGCUUUAUCCGGACAAUCCUGCAUCAAAGACGUAUACAACUUUCUGAAAUGAAUAAUUUUACAUCUCAUUAAUCCAUCCAUGUAAUUAGCUUUUGUGAAAAAUUAUGAUAUUUUAAGGUCUAUUAAAUUAAGAUCUAAAAAUAUUAUACGAAGGAAAAAAAAGAAUUUUGCAUCCGACGUGAUUUCCAAUGCAUGUGCUUACGUACGUUAAGAAAAGAAAGAUAACAAAGUCGAGAUUGUCCUAUUUCUUACUUGGUAGAGGGAAAACGAUGAUGUGUCAUUUCAUAUGGCCAGUCGAAGAACUGUACGAGCUUUAUAACGAUUUUAACGAUCGAUUCCCAAGAUCUUUUACGCAAGCCGAACGAAAAAAAAAAAAAAAAAAAACUACGAGACUUUGCUAAGACUUGCUGUUACGAGGAUAAUAUUUGCGAUACCGAGAAUAUUGACGUCCUGUGUUUUUGAAAAGAACGAACAAAUAUUUUCCAAGGCUUUUCUCUUGUCAGAAAAAUAAAAUGUUAUUUCAUUUUCAAACUAUCGAUACCUUUGUAUAUCCCUGUGACCUUAAUAUAACAUCUAUAUGUAAUGUUAUAGUAAGACAUGGUAGAUUUGCGAAUACUUUCGGAUAUUUCAAGACAGUCACUGCGACAAAAAUAUAUUUCCGACAGCGGAAGAACGAAUGCCAAUAGUUAAUCAUCUUGCAGAACCAUAAAACGCGUAUCCACCAAUAAAAGUACGAAGUGCAAGUAUGUAAAAGUGACAUAUCGCUUGUUAAGUAGUUUCUAAGAAAUAUUUUACCGAGAAGUUCAAUUUUUGGAGAAAUAUAUUUGGAUCUUACGGCGCUUUAAGUGCCAUUUCAAUUUAAAACGAGACGUCUGAAGCGGUAUCGUAUAUUAUAUUUUCUAAUUAUACACAUACAAGAUGGUCGCGCAAACGUGAGUAUUAUAGAUUAUUCUUUCUUUAAUUAUGAUAGAAAUGUGAUAAUGCUGAAAUAAUCCGAUAUACGAUAUAGAAAAAGUCGACGAUAUAUCGAUGUCAACGUUAUCUUGGGUUUCGAGUUUCUAUCUCUAAGGAUGAUAAAUGCCAAAGAAUGCAGCGAUUGCGAAAAGGGAAAUCUCUCUGUAUGGUCAGCGAUGCGUUAAGAUGCUUUGUGAAGGAAUGACAGUGGAAAGGGGAAGACAAAGGUAACGCUAAAUAGAAAACAGUGAACGGAUCUAUAUAUAAAUAUUUAUUAAUCGUUAAUCAUACGACCCAAUUGCCAGCGAAAUUCCAAUAAAUAAAGGACUAAGUCAAUGAAUUAAUAUUGAUCCCUAACAGAUAGUCAGAAGCAUUUUUCAAUUGAUUCCCGAUCGAAAGUUAUUUCAUUUUGAUCAUUCUCGCGCGCAGAUGAAUCGUACAAACGAUUUGCUUCUAACCACGUCCAAUAGUCCGAGGUGCGUAUUUUACUUAAUCGUUAAGGUUAAUAAUAUGAUUAUUUAGUGCUAAACAAUAAUUGAUAUUUAAUACUAGUGAGAUCAUCAGUCGGUAAGAGAAUUAAUGUCAUCCGGCAACUCGAAAGCGAAGCUUUUGCUUUGUUGCACUUGACAUGCCUAUAAAAAUAUUUUACGUUAAUAAAAUCUUUAUUAAGUCUUCCUUUGUGAGAUCACGUGAUUAAUCUCAAAUUCAAUCUUUAGAACGAAAGAAAAAAAAAAAAGAAAAAAUAAUAGAAAUAUAUUAAUGGAUUGAAUGAAUCACAAAUUUUCUCACGUUACAUUAAUCAUUACUGUCUUUAGUGAGGAAGUCGUACUCGAGAGUCAAAGCUCUUGAUUCUUCUUCCCUCAUUGCUGGCGAUCCACAAAUUUCAUGUCUUCCAAUUUUGUGUAUUUCAAACUCAUUCCCUAACCUCGCCAUUUUUCUUUCGACUUUGUAAGUCUUAUCAUGAAAGAAAAAAAAAAAAAAAAGAAAAGGUCGAAUCAUCCUCUUCCCGUAAAUUACGAAGAAAAUCACAAAUGGACGACAAAGUUGAUAACGUUGAUUAUAAAACAACGACCAACCAGCACCCUUUUGUGGGACUAGAUUCCUUAACGUAUCGAAAUAACGUGGCUUAUUUCUCUCUCUCUCUCUCCCCCUCUCUCGCUCUCACCCUCUCUCUCUCUCUCUCUCUCUCUCUCUCUCUCUCUCUCUCUCUCUCUCUCUCUCUCUCUCACGCACAAACACUCAGCGUGCAAGUCAAGCUAUUAUCGUCCUUCGAUUAUUUAAAAAUAUAUCUACUUAAAAUAUGUACGAAAAAGUUCGGAGCAUCUACGAUCGUCCUUGAUCCUUUUGAUGGUUGGUGUAGUUUAUUUUUGUCUUGUAGAAAAAGAGAUUCGAGUCCAUUCUAUCUCCAAUCCCUAUCUUGUGAAAGAUCACGAAGCCGAAGACGCAGAAGAUGAGUUUCUUUCGAACUUUCCUAACGAGGCAGUCGAGAUUGGCGACGUUUUCGGCGGCGCUUUCAUUCGAAUACGCUCGCGGGUAUUACGAUUCGCUAUUUCU